rnacentral:lncRNA from 1 species
GUGUGGAGAAAAUUCAGUGCAGGGAUAAAAUGGUAAUAUUAAAACUUUUUCAAAAUCAUUAUUUUACAGUAAAAAUUAUUAAUUAAUCUAAUUAAUUAAUAAAAAUUUACCUUAUACUAGGAUCUAAAUAUGAUAUAUAGCAUGCAUGCAUUUAAAUUUGAAAUUCUAAUUUGAACAGUAAACACUUUACUGUAAUGUGUUCAGAACACAAUACCUUUGUGUGGAUAGUA